UACGUAGGCAGCGAGCGUUGUUCGGAGUUACUGGGCGUAAAGGGUGUGUAGGCGGUUGUUUAAGUUUGGUGUGAAAUCUCCCGGCUCAACUGGGAGGGUGCGCCGAAUACUGAAUGACUUCGAGUGCGGGAGAGGAAAGUGGAAUUCCUGGUGUAGCGGUGAAAUGCGUAGAUAUCAGGAGGAACACCGAUAGCGAAGGCAGCUCGCUGGGACGGUACUGACGCUGAGGUGCGAAAGCGUGGGGAGCGAACAGG
rnacentral:rRNA from 1 species